UUCGAAAUAUCUCGAUUCCUAUUGGGUUUCUUCAAAUAAUAAUAUAAACAGAUGGGGGAGAGUUUAGUUGAGAUUUUUGCAGAUUUGGCUAGAGAGAAGAUUGUAGGCAGGUGAGUUGUGGGUUAUUUUUAUUUUUCAUUCGAUGCAGAGAAAAGGGUAGGGAAGAGUUUUUGUAGACAUUUUAGGAAUCUAGGUGUAGGAAAACAGGUUCUUUUUCCCUGAAACUUUUGGAAAUUUGUAGAAAAACAGACAGAGAAGAUGAAGAUUCAAUGCAACGUGUGUGAGGCGGCGGAGGCGAGCGUGCUUUGCUGCGCUGACGAGGCUGCUUUGUGUUGGGCGUGCGAUGAGAAGGUUCAUGCAGCCAACAAGCUAGCAAGCAAGCACCAGAGAGUUCCUCUCUCUGGCGCUUCCCUUCAGAUGCCUAAAUGCGACAUUUGUCAGGAGACGGCUGGCUUUUUCUUUUGUCUAGAAGAUCGAGCUUUGCUCUGCAGAAAAUGUGAUGUUGCUAUUCACACUGCAAAUGCCUAUGUGUCUGCUCACCAGAGAUUUCUUUUAACCGGAGUAAAAGUUGGUCUAGAACCUACUGACCCUGGUGCAUCCUCUUCUUCGGGGAAGUCACCUUCGGGUGAAAAAACAUCUGAAACAAAAUCCCAUUAUGUUUCUAGAAGAGGAACUCCAAUGCCAUUGGCUAGUCCGAGCAAUGAAGUUUUGCCUGCACAGGUUGUUGGACAGGAGUUUGAACCUGUUAAAGUAUCAUUCUCUGGUGGUUCUGCAGCUGGAGGCAUCCCACAGUGGCAGAUGGAUGAAUUUCUUGGCUUAACUGGCUUUAGUCAAAACUAUAGCUACAUGAAUAAUGGAUCAUCUAAGGCCGAUAGCGGCAAGCGUAGUGACUCUGACAGCUCUGCAAUCUUAAGAUCGGCCGAGAAAGAAGUAGAUGAUGAUGAUGAGUGCCUGGGUCAGGUGCCUGACAGCUCCUGGGCAGUGCCACAGAUCCCUUCUCCACCUACAGCCUCGGGGCUAUAUUGGCCAAAACGCGUUCAUAAUCAAUCUGAUAAUGGGGAAUUUGUGCCUGAUAUAUGUUGCUCGACUGUGCAAAACCAUCACCAUUGUCGGCAGCAUGGUAGUGUCACAAAACGGCAGCGGCUUUAAGACGACUCUGCUAGCUUUCUACUUAACUCGGCCAUGUGGUUUGAACACAUUUUCUCUGAUUGCAAGGCUAUUACACGAAAGAUCAUCCAACUAGGAGGGACACGUUCUGACGACACAGGAGGCAAUGCACGAACAUUGAUAUCAAGAGGAAGCAGGCGAUACUGGAUGUCAAGCUCCCUGAAAAUUUUAACCAUCUCUUCAAGCAAGAGAGCUCUCCUUGUAAACCUCUCUCCCAUGUCUUGGUGGUUCAUUGUAUGGGUUAACCAUACUGCUAUUCGCACCCUAUUCAGGUCUUCCACAUCCUUGAAUAUGAUCAUGGGUGAAGGAUACCAGUGUUCCUUUUUGUUCUCCACAUAACUGCGGUGGAGAAUGAAAGAUAAAUUUCAGAAUAUGAGAUCAACUUAAAGAAGCAAUAUGAUGAAGUACUGGAUUAAAAUAGACUACUGCUUCAUGAUCCAAAAUAACAAUCACUUGUACAAAUAAGGUAUGGCAAUUGUGAUAAAAAAAUCCAAGUUUUUUGUUA